rnacentral:rRNA from 1 species
UACGUAGGGGGCAAGCGUUGUCCGGAUUUAUUGGGCGUAAAGAGCGUGUAGGCGGCCAUACAGGUCAGCUGUGAAAACUCGAGGCUCAACCUCGAGACGUCGGUUGAAACCGUAUGGCUAGAGUCCGGAAGAGGAGAGUGGAAUUCCCGGUGUAGCGGUGAAAUGCGCAGAUAUCGGGAAGAACACCCGUGGCGAAGGCGGCUCGCUGGGACGUAACUGACGCUGAGACGCGAAAGCGUGGGGAGCAAACAGG